rnacentral:rRNA from 1 species
UUGAACGCUGGCGGCAUGCCUUACACAUGCAAGUCGAACGGCAGCACGGGAGCAAUCCUGGUGGCGAGUGGCGAACGGGUGAGUAAUAUAUCGGAACGUGCCCAGUCGUGGGGGAUAACGUAGCGAAAGCUACGCUAAUACCGCAUACGAUCUAUGGAUGAAAGCGGGGGAUCGCAAGACCUCGCGCGAUUGGAGCGGCCGAUAUCAGAUUAGGUAGUUGGUGAGGUAAAGGCUCACCAAGCCGACGAUCUGUAGCUGGUCUGAGAGGACGACCAGCCACACUGGGACUGAGACACGGCCCCAGACUCCUACGGGAGGCAGCAGUGGGGAAUUUUGGACAAUGGGCGCAAGCCUGAUCCAGCAAUGCCGCGUGCAGGAUGAAGGCCUUCGGGUUGUAAACUGCUUUUGUACGGAACGAAACGGUGAGCUCUAAUACAGUUUGCUAAUGACGGUACCGUAAGAAUAAGCACCGGCUAACUACGUG